GGAAAUAGCAGCCGAGGUGAGAAAGGAGCGUACGGAAAGGGUGGCAGGGCUGGCUGGUCCUCACCAGAUAGGUGAGACUAUGCAAGAUAAUCGUUGUCAGCUUAACGGAGAUGAGAACCAGGGGAAAAGUUUGCCUCUCUCAGAUUUCUAUAGCAAUUACAAUUAUAUACUGUGUAUUUCCAUCAUACCUCCACACCAUAAAAACCACAGAACUUCUGUCAGGGUGAUACAGACAUUUACUAUAGUCAACAUAAGAUGCACGAAUUAAGGAGUAGAUUAAAGUCCUACUGACUUUUUUUUUUUCCUUCACAAGAUCCCAAUUAAAUUAAACCUAAAAAGAUAUUAAAACAUAAUGUAAUGCUAAAAUGGGAUGGAAAGUACCGCAGUAAUAGCAGGGCAGCAGUCUCCAGCUACAGCAAAUGAGAACAAGCCCAGGUACAGCAGCUACAGAAAUGAAGGAAAAGAGCCACUUACCUUUAGAAGGCCUCAGGUAUGCAAGGAUCCCCAGCAAAAAAAACCCCUCACCUCCACUGCCAACCCUUAAAUGAGGUCUGGGAAGGUGUGGAUCCUGGCUCCACCUCUUCCAGACAUUCAGGUGCACUGCACUGCACUGCACUUGUGCUCCCCUGGGUUUGCCCUGCCUUCCACCAGGUGCUCAAUCACUGCUUGAGGUUGUGACACGUAUAAAUGGAACUGCUUUGUUUUCAGUGAAAAAAAGGUGUGAUAGAAGUAACCCUAGAAGAAGGUAACAAUAUGCUAAGGAAAUAGCUAUUCUGGGGCACUUCAUUCCUCGUGUAGAUAGGUUGUUGAGAUAACGGAGGCACAGAUAGUCUCACAGUAGACUUCUCCAUGGAGUUUCCUGUAGCCUGUGUUUCUCAGUUUCUGCUUCAUAUUGAAGUAGCUUAUCUAAUGCAACUUUCUGUGUUUCAAGACUGCAUGAAGUCUGCAACACAAGCAUGCUGAAAUUGCAUCAGUCUGACAAAAGCAAGGUGGUAGAUAAAAAACAUCUAUUUGUAUUUGAGCUUGCAAGCUAGCAAGUACCUGCAGUGUUUCUUUUCGUAUUCUUUUUUUGUAUAUUCUGCUCCUAAGGCAUGCUAUUGUUCCUUAGUGGGUGUGUUCUGUAACAUAAAACAACUGAAAAUACAGUCUCCUUGGAGCUUACAUAAACCACUAGCAUCCCCCUGGAGAGCAUAUUUUGGGAAGCUCUUAAAUGAAGUGUUCUGCUGGGAGCGUGGCAGUGGUGCUUCUGUACCAACUGACCGUGGCUGAUGAAGUGUGAAAACUGAUGCCUUCUCCUGUGUCAGCAACAUUCAAUUGGCAGGACUGGGGAAGAGCAAUAGGGAACAAGCUGUCAUUUUUUUCAAGUAUGCAUUCAGAGUGAUAGCAAAUCAUAAUUUGGUUUAGAAUUGUUGAGUCUUAUACAAACAAAAUUCCCUGCUAGAUAAUUCUUAAAAUAGUAUUUUUUAGGUCUUAUUAUUGCCUGAGGUUGUUUGGUGUUGUCACAUCCUGAAUAGGCAAUUCUAAAACAGCACAGGAAUGUUAUAAUUUAUUUAUUAAAAAAUGUACUUGUUGCUAAGCUUCACUCAGUGUUUUGCAAGGCAAUUACAAUUCACAUUUUGCCUCUAUAUUUAUUAUGAAGUUACUAAGCUGGAAAAACAACAACGAAAACCAAACUGAGUCUGUAUUUAGCAAAUAGAGUUAAAAGGUAAUAAUCUUUGAUGUAUAACUAUGCUUUCCAUGUCAGUUGAUUUUUUUUCCCCAAAUGUAUUUAUAUUACUUGAUUUGAUGUCUCCUUUUUGGUGGCUCUUGUUUCUUCUUCUGUCUUACUUAGUUUAAAGAAAAAAAAAUCAUAUUUUCCAAGUGGUGUAAAUGUUGUGUCAUCUUUAACUUAGGAAGAAGUAGCUUCUGAUAUGCCUCUAUCUUAAUGAUUUCUUUGUUGUGGCUGAAGUCACUGGUGAAUUCUUUCCUCUGCCAACAUUUUUAAUGAUUAGAAUACAUCAGUUUUGGAAGAGACUGCCAGUUCUUAACUCCUAGAAAUAAUCCCUUAUUUUAUCAGUGUUGUUCACCCAAACAGAUAAACCAAUUAAGUAUGAGAAUAGGUAGAAUCAAGACCCAGGGUUAGGUCACAUUAAAUCCUAUUUUACAGCCAUUGCUUGCUAUAUAGAUGCAUGCCCAAGCACUUGCAGUGGGAUGUGUUGACUUCUGUGUGGAAGUCAGUGCAUAUGAGAAGAUCAUUAGGACUGCAAAGAGCCACACAGAAGUUACCAAACACCAGCAUUACGGUUAAUUCUGUGCAGCGUAAUGUCCUUUGGUGCACGCAUUGCAAUCACUUAGAAUGCUGUAUGAUGGUGGAUCCUCCCACUCCAGAAGGUCACCCCUGCGAAUGAGACUGUUCCCUUUGUUCCUCACCUUCAGCCCUGUUGCAGUUCUCAGCUUUCUCCAGAUCCUCCAGCUACCCAUCUCCUUCUCCAGUGAGCCAGGACAAGGCAUUCUGGCACUCAGUACCUCUUCCUUCCUUCUCCUGCUUGGAUCCUCCCUGUUACUGCUCCUUUUUUUGCUCACCACCUGCCGUGGACCGCUCAUCACAGGAGGCCUGAAAGGACUGCUGUCUCCCUUGAACAGAAUCGUUGUGGCUUUCUUUAUUUUUCUUUAACAACCACUGGGGGGUUCUUCUUUCACUGCUAUUGCUGCGCACAGUGAUGGGUCGCUGUGGGUAGAGGAAGAACGUCGCCGCUCUGGCUCUGCUGCUUGACUUUUGUCACGAUAGGGCACAAUGCCUGUUGUGAACAGGGGAGUAAGAUCUGAGAGAAAUUGAUUCUCCAAACAAACUUUUCAGAGGCGUAGCAAUAGCAUCAUUUGAGCUAUUUUUUUUUUUUUAAUCGGGAAUCUGUUCUCCCCUUUUGAUUCCUCUACAGAAGUUCGGAUCAGCUGUGAAAUAAGACGACAUUUGGACUUCCUGAAGGAGAGGGUCCUUUCCCUUCACAUUAACAAGGAGUCAGGACGUGAGGCCUGCACCUGUCUUCACAUUUCUGGGAGAAGUGACUGAAGUUCAGACAGUGAACAAGUAACUGAGAACAAGCAUCAGAUAAACCCAGAAGCUGUGCUGCACCUUUGGGAAGACAUUCUGAUGCACUGAAAGACUUCACUCAUUGGUGUACCUAGAGAAGCUUUCCCUAUGGAAAGAAGCUAUUCUAAGGACAUGGAAAAGAACAGCUAAUGACUAAUCGAGCCUCUGACUUUCUCUGAUGCGAUAAAAAGGACAAAAGGAAGAGCCUACAGGAACCAGCGCAGCCAGACUCUUGUCUUUGUCCAGCACUGCCUUUUAAUUUGUGUGAGAGAACAGCAGGAGAGAUCACUUCAUGCUGUGUGUAUUGCUGGCAUGCGGAGUCAGGAAAAACAGACGCUCCUGAUUUGCUUUGAGAAUGACUCCCUAAUCCAGGAUGCUCUUCUGUUAAUGAAGCAGCCCCAUGGUGCUAGGGCAGCCCAGUAACUUUUGUUGUAAUAUUUAAAUCCUGUGCACACGGCAGCAUUUCUUGCCAGCUCUGCUCUGCUAGCUCUUGUUACGUUUAUAAGUGUGUUAGGUUUUCAGGUUUUCAUUUUUUAAGUUAUCCCAAUAAAAAAAGAGAUGAGUCUUUCUCACUGAUUUGUGAUCAUCCUGUUUUUGUCACAGUUGUCUUAUUUUGAAUGUAAAUGACCUAGAUUUAAUUUUCUAACCCGAAAAGGAGGUGUAACGUAGAAGAUCCAACAACUAAAACUAUGCAGAAUAUACUUUUAUGUCCUUGAAUGUUUUGGUAUUCUUUCAGCUGUUGUUACUUUGAAUUCCCUACAUCGAGGUACGAAGCAGGUGAAAGGCUCAGCCUGUUCUUCUUUUACAGAUCAUUACAAGGUAUGAAAUCUCCUAGAUAUAGAUGUUAAUUAAGAUCAGUGUAAUUAAGGCUGAUGUAGUUAGAAAUGUGAGUAUCCCCAACAGUAUUUGAUGCAGCUUAACAGAUUUGCCUUAAAUUCAGGUGCUCGUUAAUGCAGACUGAAUUUCUUUGUUGACAAGCACUGAGCUGGAGGACAACUCAUGG
ensembl:lncRNA